AGCAGCCGCGGUAAUUCCAGCUCCAAUAGCGUAUAUUAAAGUUGUUGCAGUUAAAAAGCUCGUAGUUGAAUUUCGGGAUCAAUUUGCUGGUCGUGCCUCUGGUACGUACUGGUAUUAUUGGUUUCUCCCUUCUGACGAACCAUGAUGUCAUUAAUUUGAUGUCGUGGAGAAUCAGGACUGUUACUUUGAAAAAAAUUAGAGUGUUUAAAGCAGGCAUUAGCUUGAAUACAUUAGCAUGGAAUAAUGAAAUAGGACGUUUGAUCCUAUUUUGUUGGUUUCUAGGAUUGACGUAAUGAUUAAUAGGGAUAGUUGGGGGCAUUAGUAUUCAAUUGUCAGAGGUGAAAUUCUUUGGAUUUAUUGGAAGACUAACUACUGCGAAAGCAUUUGCUAAGGAUGGUUUUCAUUAAUCAAGAACGAAAGUUAGGGGAUCGAAGACGAUCAGAUACCGUCGUAGUCUUAACCAUAAACUAUGCCGACUAGGGAUCGGAUGACGUUAAUUUUUUAAGUGACUCAUUCGGCG
rnacentral:misc_RNA from 1 species